rnacentral:lncRNA from 1 species
GACGCUUCGCUGUUUGCUUGAUUUACAAGUGGCAACAUGAACGUGUGUGUUUAUCUUUGUCUCCAGUAAGAGGUGUGACUGCAGAAUUGCAAAACCUGGAACAGAAAAUGCCUGGAAUUCCAGAAGGGGACCUAGGCCAAGUCAAUGACUUCUGUGGUACAAGAGAACUAAGAAUACUGAAGCGGAAAAUUAAGAAUGUCCUGGAAGACUGGAUGAAAUAUUACCGAGUGGCUUUGGAAAUCAACUCACCAGAUCGGUGCAAAAACUUCACUUUUCUUCCAGGAUGGAGCAGAAGGUGCCCAGUGAAGCUCAGGGGGGCUUCUGUCAGCUUGCAAAUGGCGCAAGGAAGGAACAUCUGUGGGACCCCUGUGCUGGGCAGGCCUCCUCCUUGCCAGUCUUCUCCUUCUUACAGCCAAACACAAGGUG